UCCUGGGGGGAGCACAGGCCAGGCUCCCUCGGUACCCGCCCCUGCAGGCACGUCUGCCACCUAACCGGCUCCUCGGUGGAGGACGUGGAGGACAGGGAUGCAAGGACAGGGUAGAAAGCUCGCUUCCGCCUUUAGGCGGGGGCCUCAGUGUCCUGAUCCUCCCUCCCAAGAAUGGCAGUGAGGCGUGGCGAGGUCGCACAAAGCCCCCGGCCCUCCCUCCCUCCGUGGAAGGGAGCAUUGUGUCGGGACACACCCUGUGCCAGGCGCGCCACCGCGGCCUUGGGGCUCCCACCCCCUGGGGUGUGGGCAGGGACGCGGACCGCUGGGUGGGGAGGCCGGUUCACGUGAGCGGGAGAGGAGGGCUGGUGCCCUGCGUCUUCCCCCACCCCAGCCUGCUGCCCUGUCCCCAUGCUCCAGCCCUUCCCACUGACCUCAGGGGUCUGUAGGUGAUCUCGUCCACGUGGAUUCCAAAGAGCUCCCGGGCUGCGUGCUGGAACACGUGCUCCAGGGAGCGGCUUGCUAGAUGGGAGAGGAGUCCAGAACCCCCAGGGCCUUUGUCUGCGUGUCAAGAGGAAGCUCAGCUUGAAGACUUCUCCUAGGGUAAGACCCCAGCACAGGGGCGCUUCAGCUGAGAUCUCAAUCAAAACAGAACGCUGAGGAAACCCGCGUCCUCUGCAUCCCUGGCAACCUGUACCUUAGCUCCAGAGACCCGGAUGUCCACCUCCUGGCUUAUGGGUGGAGGGUCAACCUGGCCACUGAGGCGAGGAAGGACUCCACUUCUGAGGACCCUCAGAAGAGCCAGCCAGCUCCCCAGACCCGCAGCCCACCCUCCACCCUCCCAGCAGCGUGGCGGGGGGGGGGUGGAUAUACCCAUCCCCGGACCCGCCGCAGUGUGGUCGUGGCUCCCCAUGAGGUGGAGAGGGGCAUGUGUUCAUGCAGGGGGGCCCCCUCCCCACCCCACUGUCUGGGUUCCUGAGCAUUUUCUUUUCUGUAUUUUAAGCACUUGGGAGACUGUGAGGCUGCUCAAUUCAAAAAUGGGGUGACUGGCCCAUGUGAGUCAGAGUGGAUGACGAGAAUCCCCACCCGUCUCUUCACGCAGACUGUUUUAGAGCAAACACCCGGCCCUUUGGCCACACGUCCCCCAAGACAAUGGAACAGCUGUGAGGUCUGAUCUGGCCCCCAGGGGAGGGCCACCGGCUGCCUCAUGCAUAGGGGCUGGCAGCUCCAGCCAGAGCCUGCAGGCAGGGCCCGGGCAAUACCACUACGUGGGACCCACACCUGUGGUGACAACACAAUCCACAUCACGAGUCUGGUAGUCCUGGCUGAAAAAGUCUGGUCUGGAAGCUUCCAGCUUUUUGUCAUAGCAGGGCAUGACCGUCACGUGGUAGAUCCUGUCCGGGGUCAAAUGCUGCAGGGAAAUGUGGAAAUGUGAAGUCGCUGCCUGACCUGAUAGUAAAGGAGCCCGCAGGAUAAGGUGGGGGGGUGACACCACAGGCGCGGCCUGGGACACAGCCGGCCAGCGGCCAGGAUGGGACCGAGAUGCCUCGUGUGGCCAUGUGGACAUCGGAGGUCUUGGCUCAUCUUUGUGAACAAUGGCAGUGAAUCGUUCACAGCUGGAAUAUUCUUGUUACCUGCUGCUGGGCAAAGAAGUCCUUGACCAGGGAGCCCAUGACCUGCUGUGGGGACCGAACAGUGCUGAGGUAGGGGAUGAGGAAGCUUCCGUGCGUCUUCUCCGCGUAGCAGAUCCAGCCUGAGGCCGACACGGGGAACAAACGGGGUGUCUGAGCAGCUGGGCAGGGAGUGGCAUGACCUUCUGGGGUGCACCGGCUUGUAGGGGGAGUUUUGGUCCCGUUAAAGAACGUGCCUACUCUGCUGUCA